rnacentral:rRNA from 1 species
GACGGAGCAGGCCAACUCUUGGUGAAGGACGAAGAGAUUAAGCAUAGAUGGCGGGAGUACUUCGACAAGCUGUUCAAUGGGGAGAAUGAGAGUUCUACCAUUGAACCGAAUGACUCCUUUGAUGAGACCAGCAUGCGUUUUGUGCGGCGCAUCCAGGAGUCUGAGGUGAAGGAGGCUUUAAAAAGGAUGAAAGGAGGCAAAGCGAUGGGCCCUGAUUGUAUCCCCAUUGAGGUGUGGAAAGGUCUCGGGGACAUAGCGAUAGUAUGGCUAACCAAGCUUUUCAACCUCAUUUUUCGGGCAAACAAGAUGCCAGAAGAAUGGAGACGGAGUAUAUUAGUACCAAUCUUCAAGAACAAGGGGGAUGUUCAGAGUUGUACUAAUUACCGUGGAAUUAAGCUGAUGAGCCAUACAAUGAAGCUAUGGGAGAGAGUCAUUGAGCACCGCUUAAGAAGAAUGACAAGCGUGACCAAAAAUCAGUUUGGUUUCAUGCCUGGGAGGUCGACCAUGGAAGCCAUUUUCUUGGUACGACAACUUAUGGAGAGAUAUAGGGAGCAUAAGAAGGACUUGCAUAUGGUGUUCAUUGACUUGGAUAAGGCCUAUGAUAAGAUACCGCGGAAUGUCAUGUGGUGGGCCUUGGAGAAACACAAAGUCCCAGCAAAGUACAUUACCCUCAUCAAGGACAUGUACAAUAAUGUUGUGACAAGUGUUCGAACAAGUGAUGUCGACACCGAUGACUUCCCGAUUAAGAUAGGACUGCAUCAGGGGUCAGCUUUGAGCCCUUAUCUUUUUGCAUUGGUGAUGGAUGAGGUCACAAGGGGUAUACAAGGAGAUAUCCCAUGGUGUAUGCUCUUUGCGGAUGAUGUGGUGCUAGUUGACGAUAGUCGGACGGGGGUAAAUAGGAAGUUAGAGUUAUGGAGACAAACCUUGGAAUCGAAAGGGUUUAGGCUUAGUAGAACUAAAACCAAGUACAUGAUGUGCGGUUUCAGUACUACUAGCUGUGAGGAGGAGGAGGUUAGCCUUGAUGGCCAGGUGGUACCUCGGAAGGACACCUUUCGGUAUUUGGGGUCAAUGUUGCAGGAGGAUGGGGGUAUUGAUGAAGAUGUGAACCAUCGAAUCAAAGCCGGAUGGAUGAAGUGGCGCCAAGCUUCUGGCAUUCUCUGUGACAAGAGAGUGCCACAAAAGCUAAAAGGCAAGUUCUACAGGACGGCGGUUCGACCCGCAAUGUUGUAUGGUGCGGAGUGUUGGCCGACUAAAAGGCGACAUGUUCAACAGUUAGGUGUGGCGGAGAUGCGUAUGUUGAGAUGGAUGUGUGGCCACACGAGGAAGGAUCGAGUCCGGAAUGAUGAUAUACGAGAUAGAGUUGGGGUAGCACCAAUUGAGGAGAAGCUUGUCCAACAUCGUUUGAGAUGGUUUGGGCAUAUUCAGCGCAGGCCUUCAGAAGCUCCAGUGCAUAGCGGACGGCUAAAGCGUGCGGAGAAUGUCAAGAGAGGGCGGGGUCGACCGAUUUUGACAUGGGAGGAGUCCGUUAAGAGAGACCUGAAGGAUUGGAGUAUCGACAAAGAGCUAGCUAUGGACAGG